GAUGAAGAACGUAGUGAAAUGCGAUAAGUAAUGUGAAUUGCAGAAUUCAGUGAAUCAUCGAAUCUUUGAACGCACAUUGCGCCCCCUGGUAUUCCGGGGGGCAUGCCUGUCCGAGCGUCAUUACAACCCUCAAGCGCAGCUUGGUGUUGGGCCCCGCCGCCCCGGCGGGCCCUAAAGUCAGUGGCGGUGCCGUCCGGCUCCGAGCGUAGUAAUUCUUCUCGCUCUGGAGGUCCGGUCGUGUGCUCGCCAGCAACCCCCAAUUUUUUUCAGGUUGACCUCGGAUCAGGUAGGGAUACCCGCUGAACUUAAGCAUAUCAAUAAGCGGAGGA
rnacentral:misc_RNA from 1 species